rnacentral:ncRNA from 1 species
GUAAAAACGAUGAGCAAGAAGAGUAAAUGCAGGUUGAAAUCACAGAGAGUCGCCAAAGGUGGGAAUGCGAUAUGGAUGCUUGUAUUGAAUGGACUUGUGAGUGCAACCUGAAAUAUAGUAGGAGUUGUCGGGAAACGCACCCGUUAUCAAAGCGUCAUGUAUGUUUGUACAUGUAAUUAAGCGAGCAUUUUGCUAAUUUAGGUGGUACCGCAGGAGAAUUACCUCUUGUCCUAUUU